GGGCGGUUAGCUCAGCGGAAGAGCGUCUGCCUUACACGCAGGAUGUCGUCCGUUCGAACCGGACACCGCCCACCA
rnacentral:tRNA from 1 species